UACAGAGGGGGCAAGCGUUGUUCGGAAUUACUGGGCGUAAAGGGUGCGUAGGCGGGUCUUUAAGUCAGGGGUGAAAUCCUGGAGCUCAACUCCAGAACUGCCUUUGAUACUGAAGAUCUUGAGUUCGGGAGAGGUGAGUGGAACUGCGAGUGUAGAGGUGAAAUUCGUAGAUAUUCGCAAGAACACCAGUGGCGAAGGCGGCUCACUGGUCCGGUACUGACGCUGAGGUGCGAAAGCGUGGGGAGCAAACAGG
rnacentral:rRNA from 1 species